rnacentral:rRNA from 1 species
GGUUACUGCUAUCGGUGUUCGCUUAAGCCAUGCGAGUCAUAUGUUCUUCGGAACAUGGCGUACUGCUCAGUAACACGUGGAUAACCUGCCCUUGGGUCCGGCAUAACCCCGGGAAACUGGGGAUAAUUCCGGAUAACGCACAUAUGCUUGAAUGCUUUAUGCGUCAAAUGGAUUCGUCCGCCCAAGGAUGGGUCUGCGGCCUAUCAGGUAGUAGUGGGUGUAAAGUACCUACUAGCCUACGACGGGUACGGGUAGUGAGAGCAAGAGCCCGGAGAUGGAUUCUGAGACAUGAAUCCAGGCCCUACGGGGCGCAGCAGGCGCGAAAACUUUACAAUGCGGGAAACCGUGAUAAGGGGACACUGAGUGCCAGCAUCAUAUGCUGGCUGUCCGGGUGUGUAAAAUACACCUGUUAGCAAGGGCCGGGCAAGACCGGUGCCAGCCGCCGCGGUAACACCGGCGGCCCGAGUGGUGAUCGUGAUUAUUGGGUCUAAAGGGUCCGUAGCCGGUUUGGUCAGUCCUCCGGGAAAUCUGACGGCUUAACCGUUAGGCUUUCGGGGGAUACUGCCAGACUUGGAACCGGGAGAGGUAAGAGGUACUACAGGGGUAGGAGUGAAAUCUUGUAAUCCCUGUGGGACCACCUGUGGCGAAGGCGUCUUACCAGAACGGGUUCGACGGUGAGGGACGAAAGCUGGGGGCACGAACCGGAUUAGAUACCCGGGUAGUCCCAGCCGUAAACGAUGCUCGCUAGGUGUCAGGCAUGGCGCGACCGUGUCUGGUGCCGCAGGGAAGCCGUGAAGCGAGCCACCUGGGAAGUACGGCCGCAAGGCUGAAACUUAA